AAAGAUUUAGUUUAUUUAGUAACACCUUACUUACAAUAAGGAAGAACCCUUGGUAGUCUUUA
rnacentral:tRNA from 1 species